AUUGAACGCUGGCGGCAGGCCUAACACAUGCAAGUCGAGCGAGCGGCGGACGGGUGAGUAAUGUCUGGGAAACUGCCUGAUGGAGGGGGAUAACUACUGGAAACGGUAGCUAAUACCGCAUACCAUCAGAUGUGCCCAGAUGGGAUUAGCUAGUAGGUGGGGUAACGGCUCACCUAGGCGACGAUCCCUAGCUGGUCUGAGAGGAUGACCAGCAACGUUGAAACGGAGACAGGGUCCAGACUCCUACGGGAGGCAGCAGUGGGGCAGAUUGCACAAUGGGCGCAAGCCUGAUGCAGCCAUGCCGCGUGUGGGAAGAAGGCCUUCGGGUUGUAAAGCACGUUCAGCGGGGAGGCGUUACCCGUCGAAGAUGCACCGGCUAACUCCGUGCCAGCAGCCGCGGUAAUAC
rnacentral:rRNA from 1 species